GCCGGGCGCGGUGGCGGGCGCCUGUAGUCCUGGCUACUCGGGAGGCUGAGGCAGGAGAAUCGCUUGAACCCAGGAGGCGGAGCUUGCAGUGAGCUGAGAUCUGGUCACUGCACUCCUGCCUGGGUGACAGAGCGAGACUCCGUCUCAA
ensembl:misc_RNA Metazoa_SRP Metazoan signal recognition particle RNA